GAUUGGUUGUACUGUGUCCCACCCUGUGGGAUGUCCCCUUGCAUGGGGACUUGCAUAAAAUCCAGUGUAUGGUCAUUAAAAUCAUAUCAUCUUGUACCUUUCUUAAAGCCUUGGAUCAUGUUUGGGGGAUUGGAAAACUACACUCUGGGGAUUGCUAUAAUCACUAUACUCCCCAGCUCUGCUAAGAGCUUGUUCCUGUUCCUGCUCUCUGGGGAAAGAGAAGUUCAUCCACUGGAAUCUGG